rnacentral:rRNA from 1 species
CACGUAGUUAGCCGUGGCUUAUUCAAGGGGUACCGUCCUCCGCUCUUCCCCCUUAAAAGAAGUUUACAACCCGAAAGCCUUCUUCCUUCACGCGGCGUUGCUGGGUCAGACUUGCGUCCAUUGCCCAAUAUUCCCCCACUGCUGCCUCCCGUAGGAGUCUGGGCCGUAUCUCAGUCCCAAUGUGGCCGGCCAACCUCUCAGUCCGGCUACUGAUCGUCGCCUUGGUGGGCCUUACCUCACCAACUAGCUAAUCAGACGCGAGGCCAUCUUCCAGCGAUAAAUCUUUGACGUCGGAGUCAUGCGGCUCCAACGCAUCAUGCGGUAUUAGCAGUCGUUUCCAACUGUUCGUCCCCCUGUGGAACGGCAGGUUCCCUCGACGUCGUUACUCACCACGUCCGCCACUAACGCACUU